UACGUAGGGCGCAAGCGUUAUCCGGAAUUACUGGGCGUAAAGCGUGCGCAGGCGGUUGUGCAAGACAGAUGUGAAAUCCCCGGGCUUAACCUGGGAAUUGCAUUUGUGACUGCACGGCUAGAGUGUGUCAGAGGGGGGUAGAAUUCCACGUGUAGCAGUGAAAUGCGUAGAUAUGCGGAGGAACACCGAUGGCGAAGGCAAUCCCCUGGGCCUGCACUGACGCUCAUGCACGAAAGCGUGGGGAGCAAACAGG
rnacentral:rRNA from 1 species